rnacentral:rRNA from 3 species
CUGACCUCAAAUCAGGUAGGACU